UCCUGUAUCUAAAUCAGCUCUACCCACUGUUCCACUGUGUUACUUAGAAAUGUCUCUUUUUUCAUAUUCUACACAGCUUCUUUAUGAUUUAUGUAUUUGAGCAUGUGUGUGUGUGUGUGGUUCCUGCUCCUGUUACAUCUGUGUUUAUAUAAGGUGGAGUGUGUGUGUGUGUGUGUGUGUGUGUGUGAGAGAGAGAGAGAGAGAGAGAGAUGUUACACUGUAAGAAGUUGUAGUUGAAACUCCACCUUUUCUGCACCUGACUGUCGUCAUAUCAGGUGAAAGUGAAAGCAGGUAAUUUUUGUGUCGAGAAAACCGAGAGGCUCUUUGGAACAGAAUCGCAUUGACUUUAAUCUUUAUUGAAUAACGCGGUGUGACGCAGUAACUUAACCUGAGGGAAGUUAACAGACCCGUGUGUCCUGCUGUGUUUCUUACACACA